GCCGGGCAUGGUGGCUCAUGCCUGUAAUCCCAGCACUUUGGGAGGCUGAGGUGGGUGGAUCACCUGAGGUCAGGAGUUCAAGACCAGCCUGGCCAACAUGGUAAAACCCCAUCUCUA
rnacentral:sRNA from 1 species